rnacentral:pre_miRNA from 1 species
GUAGUACUCCCUCCGUCCCAAAAUUCUUGUCUUAGAUUUGUCUAUAUACGGAUGUAUCUAUUCACAUUUUAGUGUUAGAUACAUCCGUAUCUAGAUAAAUCCAAGACAAAAAUUUUGGGACGGAGGGAGUACUAU